rnacentral:lncRNA from 1 species
UCAAACCCUAGAGACCCAUUCUUCAUCUCCCUCAUCUCUAACAUAGCAAACCCUAGCCGCCCUAAAUUCCUCGCCGCCUCUGCCGCCAGCCACCACCGGAAAUUGCCUCACGGUGGUUCCGGUGGUCCAAACCUUCCUUAAAUUUUACCAGGCAACCCCCUUUCCCUCCUCUUUCCAAAUCCCUAAACCAAUCCCUUCAAAUAUCCACCAAUUUCCUCCGAUUUUGGAUCUGAAAUUCAACCUAAAAAACUCAACUCGCCCAAACAACCUCAAACUCACACCAUGCAGUCUCUCACUCUUCCUCUCCACAAAUACAACUUUGGUUCCUCUGAAAUUAGCCCCAAUUCUGCCAAAUUAUGAAUCAAAGGUUCUGGAAAAGCCCUAAGUUCCACUCCUUUUACUUUCUUGGUCGGUAUGUGGUCAAGCGAACUCCAAACCGUCAUUAAUCAAUGGUUCCUUAUUAAGGACAGUCGACUAAUGAUAGUUAAAGGUUCUCUUCAUUCGUUUAAGGCCGGGUCGAGUUUGUAGUGGAUUUCGUUUGGGAGUGAACAUAGGUAUUUCCUUAUUAUUUUAUCUUGUCUUUUUCCCUCUGUUAUUUUCUUCCCCUGUCUCUUGAGUUUUUCAUGACUUCAUGACUAUUUAGUUGCAUAAUUUAGGGUUCUUAGCAUUUUAGGAUUAUUUGUUGAUUUCUAUGUUUAAUCGUUGUUGUUAGCCAGUAUUUUAGGAUUAGUUCAUGAAUCUUCUAUCAAUAUCGUUAAAUGUUCAGUUUUUGUUUGGUUAGGGUUUAUCUAGAUGGGUUUAGUUCAUGUUUAGGAAAACCCAUUUGGAAUUAGCAUGCUAAUCUCUCUCAUUGUAGUGUGAUUAUUUGUUAAUGGUCGUAUGUAAUUGAAUUUAGAAGGUUUGAGCCUCAGGGAUAGUUCAGUCAUUAGAUAAUGUUAAUAUUGGUUUCAUUUGUUUAAUGCUGUGUCAUUUCUGAUUUCUCUUAGUAAUAAAAUUGUUCAAGUUAAGAGGUAAUUCAAGAAUCAGUCACUAAGGGUUUGGUACUUUCAAUCAGUCAAAUUGUGCCUGUUUUGUUUUCUGUUUGUUAGUACUAAUUCAUAAGCAAUUGGAAGUUUGGGGGUUCAAUGGUAUAAGGAAGAACUUAAGGAGGCUGGGGAAAGAUAUGAAUCCAACAUUGAGUUAAAAGGUAUCUAGGAAGGUUCUAGAACCUGGGGCAGCUGUCCCCAUUGGAUUAGCAUAAAAAUGCUGAGCCAAUAAGGGAUAGCCAGCUGUCCAGGUAGUUAAAAAAAAGAUUCUUGGGUGAGGGAAUAAUUCCCAUUCUAUUUUCAGCAGCACAUCGCAUCAAAAAGGGCUAAAUAUAGACCCUUCUUUCACUAAAAAAGAGAGACUCCGACCCUAAAAAAACUAGAAAGUUCUUGCAUCUUUGGCUGAAAUUUGUUUUGGGUUUUUGCUUUUUGGUCUUCAUUGUUAAGUCAGAAUUUAAAACUUCCAGGGAUUUCUGUUCAUCUGGGAUUAAAAAAUGGUUUAAAAGAGUUGAACAUUGCUGUUUGUUGUGCUGAGCUACUGUUACUACUAAAAUCCUCACUUUUUUGCUGUCUCUUUACCUCCAGGUACCUCUUGAACUAUACUAGUAUGUGAAGCUCAGAUCUGAAGCAUGUAAUCGAAGUUGGAAUUUUAAACAUUAGUUUUGCUGGGUAGCAGCUUGUGUUAUUUAGAGCCUAUCCUUGGUUUUUGCCUUAAAUUAUGUUUCAUUACAUGAUUCACUGUAUUUAUUCAUGCUAUUGAGAGUACAAUUCAUCUUGGGGUUGUAUUUGGACUUUAGUUUGUCAUUUUGGUUCUAUCCUAGUUAAAUUCGUCCUGUCGAGUACUUGGGUGUUUGGAUUGUCACAUUAUGGAUUAAUUUAGAUGAGUAACAUUCUUUGUUGGAUUUUGAUUGAAUUGGUUCAGUCUAGUAGUGAUGUUAAGUUCAAGGUCAGCUCUCAUCAUGAUUCUGUUGCUUUGAGUUUUGGUUUUAAACAUCUGAAUGAACUCAGGGGCUAUUGUGUCAUUGUAAUACUUGAUGUCUAGAAUAUCCCUACUGUUAGAAUUACCCUGUAUGAACUCAACAACAGCUGGUAGUAACUUCAAUUUUCAAAUGAGUGGGGCCUUUAGUUCAUUAAUUGUAUAGUGUUUUAAUUUUCUAUAGUUUGU